CCAACACUCCCACGUUAAUAACUGGGAAGGAUGUCUCGCAUGGCUCUCCUGGACGGGCGGCCUGCGGCAUCUUUUGCUGCGGUACUGUCAUUGACAACAAAAUUUGUCAUCCAAGAAAUAAUGACUUCUACAUUUGUGCUCAUGCUGGGAUGAUUGUGAGUUGCAAAAUGUUGUUUUUAUUCUUCCUGUUCAAUCUGUUGAGCGAAAUGAUUGAAUAUUGUCACCUCCAUUAAACCAGCUGUGUGGUGUACUGGUGUUCAUUCCUCUCCGUAGGGGAGCAGCUCGGCCUACGUAUUCCUGCAGAUGAUGAGCUUGGUUUUUCUGCAGAUGAUUUGCAAUAACCUGUGCAUUCCUUGUCAUAUGUGAAGUAAGAUUUCAUGGAAAUAGGACAUAAUUAGCAAAUCAAUUCUGUAACAGUUCUUUAUUGCAAGGAUUUUUUCGUUUAUCUUGUGCUGUAAUCACUGGUUAGAACUGGAAAUCAGCUACUCUCCAAUUACAUUCGCUCAUGAAAGCAGUUCAAUGCUCACAGU